ensembl:lncRNA
GAAGAAUAACUCGCAUGGCUUGUGGGCGUACUUGAACCUGAUGUCAAUCGUGUGGAAGCCCACUACUUCAUUUCAGUUCAGGGAAGAGAGCGGAAGGAUGGCUGAAGCCCUUGGCAAGAGACACCUACCACCACCACCCGCUACAGGGAAACAACCGCGCUCGUAAUCACAAAUCAAAUCCGAUAAGAAAAGGAGCCGAACCAAAGUAAACAUCGGCACUGCUUUCCAUCGCUGGAGACAACUGAUGGACUUGAAAGAAAUGAGGUUCGACUCCGAACUUGCAACAUUUCUUUUGGAUUGGUAAGUAAGAUGCUGUUAGUAUUUCGCUAGAAGUUUGUUUUAUAUGUCUGCGUAUUUUUUUCGGGAAGUUAUAACAUAGAAAUGUAUCGAAGGCUGUUCGAUAAACGUGCUAAUGUUAGCGAUGGCUAACCGUAGCUGCGUUUGAUAAUUAGCUAGCUAUAACUUACCCACAGAUCCGAUCUGGUUUUCACCUGUUAUCUACCAAAGCCCGUCUCUACCAAGCUGAUGCUAAAAUGUAACAUUACCUAAGAAGCUUGAAACGUGCUCUUAGGCUUCGGCUAUGGCUCUAGGGUUGUUGUGAAGGUAGGGGCGGAGCAUAGAGACUAUGCCGUUUCUCGUUUGUUACUCUAGAGUAGACCAAUUCACUUUAUUGAGGCAAACUGCCCCCAUCUGGUAUGGAAUGUGGAGUAUGACUUGAUUUUUUUGCCAGACAUGACACAUGGCACCUUUAAGAAGAACAAAUACACUUGUAGAUCACUGCAAACUUCUCUUACUGUAAUAUUUUAAUAGUAUAACACAUUUUCAGAAGAGACUGGAUUACACUCAUCAGAGCUCACAGUGUAUUAAUGAGAACAGUGCGCUGUUGCUGUGAGAGAAAAGGAAGUUUAGAUCAUUCACAAGUGUGUCCUUGCACAAGGACAAACAAAUAGCUAACACAUAUAUGUGCUUUUCUGUUAUGGUGGGGAUUUUCCAUUGACUGAUGUUUCUACAGUUU